GAGAUCUAAUCGGACUUUUCGUCUAGUUAAUGGGACUUUUACUGGAGUUUAAGGGUGUGUCGAUUAGCCGGAUAACGCUAGGAUUUUCUUUUCUUUUGCUGUUUUGAAAGAGAUUAUUAUCGUUAUAAAUAUAGUCACUAGUCUUUUGUGUUGUUAGAUAUUAUUAAUGACAACAUAACGUCACGACUUUUAUUUAUUUUUUUGUAGAAGUGUGCAAUGUAUCUAAAUAUAAUUUUACAAUAGGUAUGUUAUGAAAUUAUGUAAUAAGGAAAGAGCCUAUUUGUCAAAUACCUGGUAUACCUACUACCAUAAUGAUCAACAUCAAUACCUAAAUACAUAACAGCAGGUACUUGCUUAAAACUUGUCAUAAAAAUAACGAUCGCUUUGCAAAAAACUACGCAGUAAAAUCCUCGUCGGUGUAAUUAUGAUGCUCAAGUGAAGUUAAAGGAUGUACUUAGUUGCCAAGAGGAGGUUAGUGCAGCGUGGGUGCGUUGUUGUGAAAACACUCGUUGGCUGGGGCUGGGGUAUGGAGGGAGGGGGGAAGGGCGCUCCCUAACCCACCCCAACCUUAACGAGCUCAACCCCCAUUACUAGAUCUGUUUAUUUCCGAACGCACCGAUGCCUGACACAUAAACAGAUAGCAAAUGUAAUUAAUUUCAGCGUUCAUAACUUUAAUUAAACGAUGUUGCUUUGAGCUUGGUUGAAGAUUUUUUGCGAAAAAUAUAGACAGUGUAGUAAGUAAUAUAUUUUACUGAGGCUUUGGUAGUGAAAUAAGACAGACAAUUCAAUUUUUUUGCCUACACGUAAUUAUACGUAAGAAAUUACAUAACUAUUUACAGAAACUGUAUGGUUAAUGCAUGCUUAAUUAAGGCUCUGUAAAUACAUAGUGUCUUUCCUUUGAAGCUUAUGUAAACAUUGUAAAGAAAGAAAAAUGGCUUAAUAAGAUAUUGUAGAUGUUAUAAAAAAAGAAAUCAGGAUCAGAAGUCAAACAGAGACGCAUAAAUGCGAAAAUAUUUACUUUAUUCCAAUGAAAACACGACACAAAAGGGACUUAGAAAAGUAAUUUGUUACACAAUCGAUGUCGUUAUAAUACGCUUACAUGUAUCAGGAUCAGAUGAUGUUAUAAGUUAAUAUAAAACAAACAAAAUGCGCAGUACAUCGCGCGGCGAGAGUUUCCUAGCCACCCCCGGUACCGAGCCGGUGGCGGGAAAGCGUGGAAAACGCGCGCAUGGGGUGGCGGGCCGGGCUCAUUCCGUGGUGAGGCGCCGCUCAAUCGAUACACCGCUUUUGUACGACAAAAUCAACAAUUUUACCUUUAAAAUAUCAUAAAAUUUUCCAAAUAUAUCCUUAUGUUUUUAUUUAGAAGUAUUAUUUGUAGUGCCAGUGAAUUUGUGGAGUUUUCGCGAUGUGAUACGAACCAUAAACAAAUGCGUCGCAAAACCGCUUCAGUCUAGAGAAUAACUUCACGAAAUUGGUAGGCGUCGCUAACAACGGAUUGUUUCAUCGUGUGGACCUUAUGUUAGUGAAACUGGAAUUAUAUCGAAUGUGAGGUUAGGAGUUUUGCGCGGGAAGAUUCCAAGAUGGCGACCGCAACGCAACCGUCGUGCAUGAGCACGGAACAUGGCUGCGUCAUGUUCGACUGCCUCGUGCAUCUUUGGGAAUGGCUUGAUCCACCUGCAGCUCAGUCACAAUACCAAAUGGAGAACAAAAAGAUCCCGCCGGCGACGCAGCAGCCGCUCACCCAGCAACACCUGCUGGCACAUCACGUGCACCCGGAGCAGAUCUACUCCCAGCAUCACCCUCAACUAUCCCACCUCAGUUCUUCACAAACAGGCCAAAUACAACCAAAUGGCGUCAUGCACCAGUUACUGCAGAGUCAGUAUCACUCGAACAUGAAUGCACGAUCUCCGCUCCUUGAAAACAGACACGAUUUGUAUAGUACUGGUCACAAUCACGAUUACGCCCGACAUUAUGGAGCAAAUGAUAACUAUAAUUACCCACAGUCACCACCCAGACACGAAAGGACAGAGGUGCACACAGAUCAGAAUGUUAAUCACGAGCUACUUCACAAUAUACCUAAGGGAUACAACGCAGAAGUCUACCAAGAUUAUUUAAAACGAAACCCACCGAAAGAUACCAACCAAAUAUACCAAAAUCAUCAACCUAUGUAUAGGCCUAAUGUUAAUCCUAAUCAGUAUGGAUCCAAGCCAUAUCUUCCAUAUUCAAAUAGAAUAGGUCCACAGAGUAACACAGAAUUGUUACGUAGACAGUAUAGUGAAAUUCAACAAAUGAAACUGCAGCAGCAGCUUCAUUACCAAAAUCAGGCACAAAUGCACCAACAACAGAAGUUCGCCGAAAGGCAGUUGUUGCUGCAACAGAUCCAUGGCGUACAGCCACCACCUAACUUACAGAAUAGUAUUUACUCAGAUGGUUCAUACAGAGACUUGGAUCGAUACAGUAGUAAAAACGACUUCAAAGAAUAUAGUAGCCCUGAUAUACAAAAAGACAUCGAUAGCUAUGCUAAAAACAAUGAGUACAAGGAAUAUGAAAAGCAAAAUAGACAGUAUGAAGCUCAGUGGAAUCAAAACCAGCAAGCUGAGUACAGAGAGCAGGAACAACAGUACAGAAGACAGAUAGAAGCGGAGAAAGGGAAAAGUCAGUCUCCACCAUCAGAUUAUAAAAGCCAAAGUCAAAAGAACAAUAUGAGUGUCGCAUCACCGAUGAAGUCUAGCGAAUCUAGUACUCCUAGUGUGAAGUCUCCGUCCUCGGACAGUAGGCGGAGCAGUGGUGGAAACCAGGCUCUGCGAUCACCCAUAGCACACCGUAUACCAUCCGCUCCAGUCACCAUGUCGGGGAUCCUAUACAAACAAGGUUCAGAUGGAUUAAAAGUAUGGAGGAAGAGGUGGUUCGUUUUAUCGGAAUACUGCUUGUUCUACUAUAAAAGUCAAGACGAAGAGAAACUUCUUGGCUCAGUGCUCCUGCCGUCAUACAAGGUAUCGAGUUGCACCGCGGAAGACAAAGUGCUUCGGAAAUUUGCAUUCAAACUGGAGCACGCGAACAUGAGAACUUACGUCCUCGCGGCGCCUGAUCAGGAGGCCAUGAUGAAAUGGGUGAAGUCGUUGACCAUGGCCGCACUCAUGCAGAGCCCCAAUGAGCAGCCGCAAAAACAGAGCGAUCGGACAGCUGCGAAAAUCGAGGAUGUCGAUGAAAUACCAACCUACGCGAACGCUCCACCGAAGCCAAGGCGCUCUAAUGAAGGAUACAACUCACCAAGCCCUGAUAUGUACGAUCCAAACUAUGACUUACUCAAAAAGCCAGCAUCACACUACAGUCAAGGCACUAGUCACGCACGAUAUCAAGACCACGCAAAUUAUCCAGCCAGUCCAAACAACCAAGAGCCCACAUACACUCGCAGUCCGCAAUCUCCACCGCCAGUACAACAACAACCACAGUAUCAAACAAAACGACCACCUUAUGAUACGCAACAUCUCUCUCUGCCAUUAACAAACACAGUCACCGACAAACUCGAGAACAACCAACCCAGUACCUCAUCUAUGUACAAAUCUAAUCCGCAAUCGCCUUAUUUUGAUAGGAAUAGAAGCCAGCAGCAAAUGGCACAAGAAAACAGGGAACAAAAUAUAUACGAGAGGCAAUCACAACGUAAUCCUUUCCUGCAAGAUACAACUCCUCAGACGGAAACAUCUUCAAAGGAUGAACGAAAUGAACAACAGAAUAAUUCUCGGUCGAAUUUGAAGGAAGAAAGAUCUGAAUCCGUUCACAAGGACUCGUCACAAAAUGAUAGUAGAAAUAGCGCCAAAUCUAAUAUUGAUUUGAAUGCUUAUAAUAGAGACGUAUAUGGGGAGUUGACUUCUAGGCAAGUAAGAGCAGGAAGUGCUAUAAACGAACGUUUAAUGGCUGAGAGGCGGACGCCAGAUGCUUACGGUAGAUCUACAACAAUGUCUGCUUAUAACAAAGGUAAAAUGGGAGACUACGAGGAUGUAUACUCACAAUAUGUCACCGAAAAUGAAUACGGUAAAACAUAUGCUAAAUCGCCAAACCCAUCUCAAGCAGAUGCUGUGAGCACUUCCUCUAAUCAACAACAGCAAAAGUUGCCCGGCAACUAUCCCCAAGAGAAGACAUUCAGCGGACCUUCAGUACUAAGGCGAAAGAAAAUGCAAUCGAGUGGAAUUCAACCUCCAAUGCCACGUCCGCAUAGUGCAGAUUUUCUUGAAUAUGAAUCAAAAGCGGAAAUGUUGAACAGAUCCGCUCCUUCUCGCUCAGCUUAUGAUUCAUACAAGGAACCACAACGGCCUAAGUCCAGUUUGGACAUUAAUUCUUACUACGACCCCAGCUCUGAUAGGUACUAUUCUGAAGAAAGCUACGCAGAGAAAAUGCGCCAAUCUGCACAGUAUUUGCAACAAGGACUCGUUCCGAGUGUAGGUCCGAGGAAUAUGGAGAUACCCCUCGCGAAUUAUGCAAGCGGCUUAGCAAAGAAACAACUCAGCACUGCAUAUUCACAAAUGACGAAUAAUAAUUACGAAGCUGAAUUUAGCUCGAAUCGGGAUAAUGUAAGUUAUAAUUCGAAAUACGGUGAUUUAGAGGCACUAAAUUCUAAUUGGACAUUAAAGGAGAAAGAGAUACAGAAGGAAUAUCUAAAUAGAAGUGGUAGUGUUAUGAGCGAUGGUUCGAAUGUCAGUGGUUAUGUCAAAGAAGCAGCCAAAUAUGAUACUAAUGCUGAUGGAUUUAUGAGAUCUGCAAGUGCAAGGUUACCGUCGACAUCCACAGAAAAGGAAGGUGAAAAGAAAGUGCAACAGCGUGAAGAGUCAAUGAAAAGAUUAUUAGAAUGGAAGCAAAGGAUGUUGCAAUCACCGCUAACCAGAAAAAGUACUCCAGCGACAAUAUCUCUCGCGAGGUCUCUCAAUCAUAGUCGCCAGUCGCUACGAUCAGACCAAUAUAAAUCCAAAACGUACACGAACGCGUCAUACAAUAGCUAUUCUUCGGAUGAUGAAGCUUCUAUGACAAUGUCAGGCGCGCAUACGGAAUCUGGUACAAAUAAUAACUCAAAAAGUCAGCAAGCAUUGUCAAAGAAAGCUUUUCUCGGAAGUAAUACGUCAAUUGGAAGAAGCAGUCGGGACGCCAAUAUACCGGUACGAGCAGUGAGCCCAAGAGUUAGAUGGGUGGAAGACAAACAGUCUAACGACCACUACGGUUCACAGCAAAUGUCGACGUCUCAGCAAAACCUAAAUACAUUGAAUACUACAGAGGACUCCUGGGCUUCAGCCAGGUCUCCAUCUAGAGCUUCUCAGCAACCCAUCAGGGCUGUAAGUCCUCGAGUCCGCAGGAACACUGAAAAUGAUGAAAUGCAAAGGGGGAUGCAGCAGCCGAACCAAAAUGAACAGUUAGGGGAGAUUCCUACCGCCGGAGAACUCCUUGGUCGAACUCAUGAAGAAUUGGUGUUGCUCUUGAUCCAAUUACGGAGACGCCAUGCGGCUACACAUCGGGCCAUCGAGCAGUGCUGCGCUCAAAUCAGUAGUAUUGAGGAUUGUCUCAGUUCUUUGAAAGCAAUGGAACGGGAGGAAAGUCUUCAACGUCUUGAAUUCCUUAAAAAUCAACUAAUGGAGCUGGAACAUCAGUAUGAGAAAAGCAAACCUCUUGUCCAACUAGUGGAUAAUAUGGUCAAGUUGGGAUCUCUGUAUAACAGGCCUGGUUCUACCAUCGAAAGGUUGGAAAGAAACCAGAGGCUACGACAGAAAGUUCUGGCUGAACAUGCUUUGGAACAACAAAGAUGGCUCGAAAGUGUGGCUGCAGGCAAAUCCCUGGAAACAGAAGCAGCCAGAGCGAGAGUGGCCGAGCUAUGGGCAUUGGAACAAGAACUUUCUGAUGAAGCCGCCAUAUUGCAAGGCCUGAGGACUGACAAGGAUGCUAUUGAGAACUUACUUUCUGGUGUCCGUGGUAAGCUGGACAGUGUCCACAAAGGCGAGAUUAAUGUGGACGUCAAUCCUCCAGCGCCUCGAAGACCAUCAGCUCCACCCAGUCAUCAGGCAGCAGGAGGCCUCGAAGAGGAACUGGCGCGCGUGCAACAGAUGUUGGCACACAAUUCUAAGGUUUAUAAGAAAUUGGAGCAGACGGUGGCGGACAACGCUCGGUUGGAACGUGAGCUGCAGCAGUUGAGGCGCGCGCUGCAGGCGAGGCGAGCUGCUGGGCAUCAGCACCACGCAGCCAACCCUACCGCCAUGUUGGAAGAUGAAGUGUCACGCGUCCAGCAACUCGUGACAGCGCUGCAGCGUCAGCGACAGGAGCUGAGUCGUGCAGUCAGACAUCUGACCCAACAGUCACAUGCGCUGCAGAAUACUCACGAUUCUAUGCCUGGAAAACGUCGUCCCAUGUCUUCGUGGCAAGAAACCAACUUGGACACAGGUCACACGAUCGACCACGGUCACUCUGACUACGACUAUGACGUAGGACCGUUGAUGCCUCCGGGUCACUACGAUCAUUCCAAUGUUGAAACACCCCUCUAUGUGGACACUAGAGGCCCCGGUGCUGACGUCACUUCACCGCUCAACAGUGAAGAUUUACAACAUGCUGGUUUCAGCAACCUAACGAACGUAGAGAAGCAGGAGAUAAAAACGGUCCGCAUAGUCAAGCGAGAGAGUGAGCGACGCCAACGAGAUAGGGAACGUUCCCUCCAGCCCAUGUCUGAUUGGCCCACUAACAACAUCACUGCUAAUCUCGACCAAUUCCUAGAGGAAGAACUCGUACAAUCACUCAAUUACUCUCGAUCGGCUUCACUACCCCGAAACGAACAAUACGAGCAAGUAUACGGCAUGAGACGUGACAAUAACUACUUGCAGCCGAACAUGGAUCUCAGUCCCAAAUAUGUGUCGAGUCCAUCUCUUUCCAACUACGAUUACUCGCAAAAUAUGUCUUCUCUGAGUAGUAGUUACAACAAGAGCUACGACAGAUCUGGAUAUGAUCGCACAAUCUCUUUGUCAACGCAGUACUUGAACAGUCCUACGGAUAGUUCCAGGACGUUGACGAAUGAUCCUUUGUCAAAGACCAGCAGUGUGGUCAGUUUGACAAGGUCUCACAUGGAGCUCUCUCCAAUAUUCAAGAGUGAGGCCGCUAAACAAAUCAUAACGGAGAUGUCUGGUGAUGCUCCUAAGAAUGGAUCCUUACAUAGGAGACAGGUGCCGAAGGAGAAGAGAAGGCACUAUACUGCACCUCAUCAUCUUAGUGCUAAAACACUUAACGAAAUGCCCAAGGAUGCGUAUAAUCAAGACAAGAUGGGACGAUCAGUGGAUGAUGCGGAUAUGGAGCGAGCAUUGCGUGGCGCGGCGCCAGACGUGGUGAGAUCUGCACUACCACCACAAGCCCUCAGAUUGGCUGACAACACCAUCGACCAGCUUCUCGCUGCACCACAGAAAAUCCUCAUUCCGGAGAGAUAUAUUCCGGAGAAGCCCCCAGAACUGUCACCAGAGGAGCAACAAAAGAGGCAAGAGAAAGUGGAGUCGAUAAAGAAAAUGUUGACAGGCACAUCGGCUGACCCCAACAAGAGUCCGGAUGCUGACGAGAAGCGGCAACGGGAGCACUUGCUACAAAUGAACCAGAUACUCGCCAAGCAGGUCACUGAGAUGAGCAAAAUCAUCGCCGGAACCAACACCGAACAAGGACCGUCCGCAUCCAACCACUGAUUAGCCAUCUUACAUUACACACCUGCACAUUUCACAAUAUCCUCAAUCCAUGUCCAUCUAUUAAUACUGGGUACUACAGCAUUUGUCUGCAUUACUUAAUUUUUUUUUGUAUCAAACAGAUGAUGUUUUCCCAUUCCUAACAUUAAUCGCUUUAAAUCCCUCAAAAAAUAUACCUAUGUAUGUAAAUUGGCUGACUCGGACGGUUCUUAGAAGAUUCCCACUACCCCGUGUGUUGCGGCAUGGUUUCGUUUUUUGCAUUUUGUUUGAAAGCGUUAGAAGAACUGCCUCAAAAUGGUAAUGCUGACGACUUGGACGAUCGUUCACCUGACGUAGAACUGCCCAUCUACCAACAAAGAGACAAUUUCUUCACCUAGUGCUAGGUAUUUGAGAGGAUUUACAUGUUACUCGAUUAGUAAAAUAACAAACAUAGAGAACCUGCGUUCAUUGUGACGUCUUAUGAUAUUAUAUCUACCUAUUCAACUUAUCAUCCACAUAAUUGACUAGACUGGUAUUUGGCUGUCUUUGGCUUAGAAAAUCUUUGGCAAUUAGUAGGGUCUAAAAUGUAUUUACCUACAUGUAUUGUUAACCUAGUUUGAAACGUAACCAAGCUCGGCUUUAAAUAAAAGAUAAGCAGUCAAUGUAGAAUGUUCAAUUAAUAGUGUAUAAUGUACCUAAUCGGUUUUUCGUAUGUUUAUAGGUGAUUAUAAAUCAAAUAUUUAAAAUAUAUGUAGGUAUAUAGCAACGUGUAAUUGUUUCUAAUUUUGUAAUUAGUGGAAUUAUGUCGUUUUAAUCUCGAAAUAUGUACUUGUGAGAAAAUGAGAAAGGCUUCAGUUGUAACUGCUUUCAACAAUGUGUAAAAGAAAAUUGUUUUGUUUAUAGCUAACUCUUGAAUCCAAUUCCGAUCGAUCGACAUUCGUAUUGUGAAAUCUCGUACUCUUUCGUAAUUUCGUAUAGCGUGGAUAUUGAAUGAACAAAAUGGUACAGAGUUUGUUUUAUAUUCCGUACUCCGAACGCUAUUUUAACAGCUACGAUUAGGGUUAUAGGUUUGACAUUGAAAAAAAUAUUGAGAUUAUGUUGGAUUGAUAUUGAGAUUGGUUUCAAGAGUAAGCGCCCAGAUCUGUUAGAUACUUUGUGAAUCUCAAUGUUUGGUGUUUAUAGGAACUAAAUACUACAUUAGUCAAUGUGUUUGUUUGUGAUUUGACUGCAAUGUGCGUUCCACAUAUCUAUCAAAAUAUCAUAUUACUUACUUACAUAUAUAAACGUGUAAUUAAUGGCUAAGAAAUGAAUAGGAAUUGGUAUUUUUUGUAGCAUUUGCUCAAUUUUGUGAACAUUCCUUAGCGAUGUUAUUUUGUAGUGUAUGAUACAAACGACUCUGUAAAAUACGCGAAUUAUUUUGGCCAGUUAGUAAGUAAUACAUUUAAAUUCAAUACUUUAAGAGGUUAUAUUUUCUUGUGUUGCUGCUACUAAUUAAGAAUUUGAGCACAACGGUCAGCUAUAGACGACAAAUAAAAUGUACUUAAAAUAAGUUUUACGGCAGUGGUGGAUUAACCCGAUUUUGGUUUGUAGCCUAUUGCAGACUGUGGCGUUCAAAACGUUAAAGUACAAUAAAGACCUCUCAGAACCUCAGAUUGUAUUGAAUUAUAAUGUAUGUAGCUUCGAUCAAUUAAUUUUGGUAUUUAAUACAAGUCUUCUAUGUAAAAGGCCUUGAAUUGUUACUAUAGACAUAAGAUUUAGUGAAAUGUACCUAGAUGACGAUAUAAUGUUAUAGUUGCCAUGAUUUCGAAUAGAAAGUGCACAUUUAUAUUUAUAAAAAUAUAAUUAUAAUUUAACAUAACGAAUAACAAUGCGUUUUAGUAUUAUUUCGUUAAUUUUGAUUUUGUAUUUUAGUGUAAAUAUAAAUUGUACAUUUAAUUUAAUUUGUCUUGUACUUAGGUCUUGAUUUUUUUAGUUUUUUUUGUAUGUAGUCCGUUAAUUAUGUUUGUAUUUAGUAUUGUAUGAAUAAAUAUGUGAACAUCUUAUGCAACAAUAUAUCACUGAUGACAGAGCAACAUAUUUUCUUUUUUGGAAAAAAUAAUUCAUUAUUUUUAUUUAUACUUUUUUUCUAUGAAUUCUGCAAGUUAGUUUGUUUUAUUGGGGAUGAUUAAUGAAUGAUACGAGUAAAUAAUAAAUAAAUAUUAAAGUUUUAACUGAGCGUAAAGAAAAAAUGGUAAAUAGAUCUGUUUAUUUGGGUGCGAAAUCAAGUUAGUACUUAUGUGUGUAGCACUAGAUAGUACAUUAUGUACAUUAAUGUUCAUAAAUUACAUAAUGAAGCUUUAAAUAUUUCAGCCAACAUUAUUAUGUAUUUAUACUUUUAAUACUUUUUGUUGAAAAUAGCUUCUACCGAUAAUAUAACCAGUAUUAUGAAAUUAUAAAAAAAUUAAAUAGAAAAGAAUAAAAAUGCUUCUGUACAAAAUUAUUUUGUGCCAUGUUUUUGCAUUUUUUUUAUGUAAUUUGUCUAUGGCAAUGUUAGAAAAAUAUAUUAUACGUAACUGAUAAAGGCUCUUAGAGCUAUUGUGGGAAACCUUGUCCUUUCGAACCCUUUAUAUAAAUUACCUUAAUAUAUGAAAUUUCCUUCCAAAAUGUAACACGUAGUAUCAUUUAAUUUAACACUGUCAAUUAUUUACCAAAAACUAAUCCCUAAAUAACUUUACUCUCGGGAUAUUCUUCCAAAACGACCUUAGUAGUCAACAAUUUAAAUAAAAACCUUUUAUUUUGACAUACUGACUUCUUCCGAAUUAUUGUAUCGUAGGAAAUAUUUAUUAAAAUAACGAAUAGUAUUGAUAUCAAAAAAUAUACCUAGUAAAUUCCCUCUUGAAUCUUAUAAAAUACUAAACCUAUAGAUCCCAAACUUUAAUAAAAACAUGUAGAAAUUAUAUAUCGUCAAAUAUCUAACUAUAUCUUAGGCUUUUCAAGCCAUUAUAAUAUUAUACAAUUAUUAAGGGAACAUGAUCAAGUAAUUUGCUAUUCCCCAAUUAUAUAAUUAUAUAUAUAAAAAUAAAUAUAUAUCGCCUUAUAAGUAGACUGGCCGAAUAAGAAUGAUUUCUAUUUCAAAAUGUAUAUUAGAAUUAGCUGUUAAACUUGUAGCCCCUUGUAUUCAACGAAUAUUUAUGAUGGUAUACUUUACAUUGAGCUAUAUGUUUAAGCUUUUAAAUUUACUGUUUAUUGAUUCUAUAACGAAGCAAGCAGUGGACCGAGAAUUAUAGUUUAAAAUCAAUUUUCAUUUCAAAUGAUUACCACUUAUAAUUUUUGUAUAAAAUGAAUUAUAUUUUUUUAAUCAAAACUAGUUGUCUAAUAAUAAUUUACUGCUCGCGUUUUAAAAUACCUAAUUCAUUUUAUUAUAAUUCAAACAAAGUACAUUUAAAUCUAAUCUUAAAAUGUUCAUUUAAAAUGAAAAUAAACCUGCUUGCUUCGUUGCUAGCCUAACAAAAGCCCCCAAAUUAGAAGUACUAUGUUGACUGCCUUAAAAUGAGUUGUUGUGUAAAUACCUACAGGGAAUUGUGCAUAUUAUUGUUUUAAAUAAUUGACUAUCCAGUUUUACAUGAAUCCUUGUAAUUAUAGCGCGUAUGUUGUUCACAUCUGAAAAUAAAUGAUAUGCUGUAUUAAAA